rnacentral:lncRNA from 1 species
AUGUCAAUAGCCCUCUCUGUCUGUAGAUGUCGCCAUGUACAUGGGCAGUGGCGAAUGCAUACCGGCUGUCAGUGUAGAUGUUUACAGCCUUGUCUUGACCUAACAGGGUUUGAGUUAAGGCUAUUAGUUCAGCCCUCUGUGUUGAAGUCUUUUGGCUUAAUGCCUGUGUCCAGUGUACCUGUUUUUCUGGACUGACUACAGCCACCCCCGCAUACCUGACUCAGUCUUCCAUGAAGCUCUUUCCAUCGGUGGAGAAGGUCUCAUCUGGGCUUAGCAGGGCAACAUCAGUCAGAUCUGGGCUGUUGGUGGUGGAAGUUGUCAGAGUGUCCAGACAGUCGUGGAGGGGCAUGCGUAUGAGUCGGAGUCCAGGAGUAAGGUGGCCGGAUUGAGGGUCAUUCCUCAGGCGAAUUUGAUGCGUGGAGCAUCCAGCAACAGGGCCUGGUACUGAGUCAGGCAGGCGUUGGAGAGCCAUCGUUCUGGGGCUCCUCUCAGCAACGUCUCCACAGCGUGGGGUGCGGUGAGGACCAGGUCCCGUCCCAGGCCGAGCUUAUCUGUCUCCUGGACCAGGAGGGCGGUGGCUGCAACUGGCCUCAAACAGGUAGGCCAUCUGCUUGCCACAGGAUCAAGGCUUUUAGACAGUAGGCCACAGGUCUGUUCCAAGGCCCUCAUGCUUGGGCUAGCACUCCUUUGGCUAUGCCUCCUUCUUCAGCCACAGACAACCGAAAGGGCUUGGUGACAUCAGGUAGGGCCAGGGCUGGUGCUGACACUAAGGCUCUCUUUAAAGCCAAAAAGGCGACUUUUUCUUUUUCUGCCAGGAAGGACUGUCUCUCAUGCCUAGAGUGCAGCAAUAGUGACUUUCCCCAGUUUCUUGGCUAGGACUUCCUCGGGCGGGGCAUCACGGUUAUCAUAAACUUUCUCGGCUAUGCUCAGGAGUUCAGUCUUAUUCUUUCCCUCAAAUCCCUCUAAUUUCUGUAAUUUUUUUAAUGCCUGGGGCUGACUGGGAAACAAAGGCCA